UCGGAUUUAAAUGUUGCUUCUAUUUUUGAUGUUGAUUUUCCAUUGAAUGGCAGCUGAUUUGAUCCAUCCUCUGACAGUAAAUGAACUGAAUUUUGUGACUUAUGAACUGUCUUAGUAAAUUAUUCCUACUUGAAGUGAGAAGAUGGAGCUAAAGAAGAGAGGAAUAUUUUCGUCAUGGUUGGAGUGAUUAAUUCAAAACAGACCUUGUUCUGGUUGUCAUGAACUAAUGCAAGAAAGGAGAUGGGGCUUCCCUCAGUCUUUUCAAUAUUCAAAUGCCCAUCUUUGUUCUCAAAUACCUCAUGCUAUUUGUACAUUGUGCUUGAGGAACUCCAUGGCUUCAGCCAAGAAUCUCUUGGAUUGAAAGAAGGCAGUAGAAGUGCUGAAUCAAUGUCAGUCUGAUGUAAUGAACUGGAUGAGGCUCAAACUAUGGAAGAGAGAAGUGCUGUUAAAGGAUGGUUUAUCCAUCCACGAAUAUGCCACAUCAUGCAAAAAUAUAUCAAAAAUAUAAGAAACAGAUGGUAAAAUCUAAGAGUUUCCAUUUCCCAAGUUGGUAAGCAUUGCAGCAGCUGCCAGAAAGAAGAAAGACUGAAGCAAGAAGUUCUAAAGGUCAGGAACAUGGCUUCAGGUUGAAUUCCUGAUGAAAAUAGAAAACUGAAUUAGAGAACACAGAAGAAUCCAUAUCUACGCCAACAAGAACAUUCUUGAAAUAAUUCAACAUCAAGAGAGACUGCACAAUUCAUCCCAUGGCAUGAUUCAACUACCCUUUCAUCAAGAUCCUAGCCAGGGCUGAGAGAAAGUGACCGACCCAAGAUCACCAACCUGGCUUUGUUUCUAGACUAGUGCCUUAACCACUACACCAAACAACUUGGUAUUCCACUGCAAUAGAGAAGGCGGGAAUUAUCACACUUCCUCUUUCAGCAAGACAAUGAAUUCAGCAAUUUAAAGAGCAACAGCUAGUUAUGCAUCUUGUUAUGAAUAAGCAAAUAUAUUUACCUGCACACUAAGCCCAAACUUUGCCUCAGUGGGAUGGUGUGAACAUCAGCAAGAACCUCUGCCUUGAUCUUCUGGAGGAAAAAAAAUCUAUCAAAUAAAACUCAUACAGCAUAUUGUUAGCGUGUUGUUAGAGAAUCAGGAGUAUUGGUGGGGAACAUUUAGUCAGUGGAGAGACUGGCAAAUUUUCAAAGGUGAGGGAUGCAUUCAAAGAAUUGCCUGGAGCAGGGCUGAGAUCUGAAGAACCAAGAGGGGAACUAGACUGGAACAGAUGAGCUGGGAUGGAGAAGAUCAAACCCAGAAGGGUGAAUCAACCAAUCAAGCAGAAUAACCUGAGAAUAUUACUCAUGAUCUUGCUGUUGCCUUGGUCAGAUUUCAGGGAGGAAUGCCCUCCCCACCCCUUGCAGAAAUUCCACUGAGUUCUCUUUGUCUUUUUGCCUUCCAGUCAUUUUUGACUUCUGGUGACUGCCUGGACAGGUCCCCGAAGUUUUUUUGGCAAGAUUUCAGAAAUGUUUUGCCAUUGCUUGCUUCCUAAGGCUGACAGGGAAUUAUUAGCCAAAGAUACCCCCAGCUGGCUUUUCACUCAAGGCAGGAUUAAAACUCAUGGUCUCCUGGCGCCUUAACCACCAGAGUAAUCUGACUCUCUACAUUGUAUAGUGCCAUUUGGGCCAUUUAAAGUCAUUCUUGUAUUAGAGUGAUAUUGUUGGUAUAUUUGCAUGGUUAUUUCAUCAACACAAAUAGUAAAUGUGUUCUUAUUUGUUCACAAUUAGAACAUUUUAUUUAAUGCUCCAGGAGAAAAAAAUAGAAACCAAUCCCUUGACACCCGACACCCGCCCCCCCCCCAAAAAAAAAAUAAGUAGCAGAUUUGUUUAAAAUAAAUUGCAAAAAAGCUGGAGAUGGACUUGGAAUAUCCUGACGGAACCAGCUUGUUAAAUUCAGUCACUGUUUUUUUACUAUAAACAUGAAAUCAAGAUACACUGAUGUAGGCUUUCAUGACCAGUAUGUGUUGAACUUCAGUUUUGUGACUGUGGUCUAGAGAACAGAUUUCCUGAAGUUUUACUAGCAACUGUGGCUGGCAUUUUCAGAGGCAAGGUGAUCAGGCCCAUUGGGAAUGUGCAACGGGAAGAAAAGCACUUUCAGGCGGCAGCGCUGCAAUCCCCUCCCCGAAUUCAAAAUCGUUACCAGUUCCCCGCUGCAUAUUGGCCGCCCACUGCCUGAAACACAGCUCUGAUUAUUGUGUUGGGGAAUCUGGGCAGCGGUGGCUGGAAAGGAGGGGCAUUUUUCUUUAGGAGCUCUCGUUCGGCUCGCUCGGCUCCUGGGCGCAGAGGGCUUAGGCAGCAGCUCCUCACAUUGCAGGAGAGUGAAGUCAUUGCGGCCAUUGCCUGCCCUAAGCUGCCUGCUGGACGGCCAGAGGGGUGACCAGCUCUGGGGUGACCAACUUCCUUAUUCCCCGAAGCUGCUGGGCAGAUUCCCCCCGCAGACCAUCCCGAAGACGGUUGUUCCUCAGGCUGUGCUCCGACCCAGAUCCCUGAUGCUUGGAACUGCCCAAAAAUGGCCGAAGGGUGGGGGCCAGUGGGUGGGCGGGGCUACAUUUAGCAUAUAAGACGCACCCAGAUUUUCACCCCCUUUUUGGGGGUAAAAAGGUGCAUUUUAUACACCGAAAAAUACGGUACUUCAUGCAAAACCAAGCUUAGGCCUAUCUGUAACCACUGAAUUCUGUAGAAAGUUAGCACCCACCCUACUCCUAGAAGAAUGAAAUAUUAAAAAGGCAGAAUGUUAUAUUUCCCUGGAUAAGAAACCGAGAAACAUGCUUUUUUAGAAGCAGAAAGCAUCCUCCACCUUUCUUAAUAGCCCCCAGCAGAUAUUUUGUGCCCAUUAAAGUCUGGGCCAUCCUAUCUACAAAACAAAAGACCUUCAACUCCAGGAUGAUGGGAUUAAGGGUUCCCUCCAGGACAUAAUAGGAUUAACCCACUAGCAGCAGAGCUCACCACAUUGCACAAUCUCCUAAGGACAUUGCAUCACCCAGCAAACUUCAACCAAACCUGGGACAACCUACAGAGCUAGCUAUGACCCGUACAGCAGCCAGUAGAAUACAUGUUUUCGUACAGGAACAGGAAGUCCAAUGCAAAGCCCAAGAGAAGGUAUAAAUACCUCUCACUCUCAAUUCUAUGUGUUCAGCUAUCCAAAAUCACAUGUGCUUGGUGGUUCUGCUUCGCCAUUAAACCAUCUUUCCAAUCAGCCUCCAUGUUUCCAAUGUCUUUCUCUCGGCUUGGAACUGAACCAGAUGGAUAUUUCUUCCAACAGUUCAAUAUACAAAAUUGCUUCAACACUUGUAUUUGGAAUAAGAAAAGGGUAAUGAAAUUAUUUAUUUCAACUGCAUUCUUCAUCUAAUGGGGGGAAAAGCCAUAUUUGGUGUCAAGAACUGAUACAACUUGCUUGCAGUAUCCCCCUUUGCAUCUAUCAGAUUUCUUUAAUUUCAGACAGGAUUCUAAGAAGCUCUCUUUAUAUUUCAAGAAACAUAUUUCUUUGCAUGCCGUGCAAGACAUUCUUCUCUUUCUUGAGCUAAUGUUUGGUUUUAUGUUCCCUCUGGGUUUCAUUACACAGUCAGUUGUAUGUACGAAAUCAAUCAUUUGAAAAACAAAACAUGUUUUUGGAUGCAGGAUGAAAUGUAAAAGGGAACAAUAAUUUGGUCUAAGUUCAGAAAAGGAUGGUAUUUUUGGAUGGUAGUUAUGUGCACAUAUAUUUAAAUUCAGUAAUUAUUUAUACCUCUAGUGGAUGUGGAUGUUCUUUGUGCAGGUUUCUUUGAAUAACAAUGAGAUCCCUGAUCUCUGAAGUUAGGAUGGAAACAGCAAUGCAUUGCAGACAGAUGGUCAACUGGUAUUUUCAAGGAGUACUUUCAAGCAUCACUGCGGUUCAUUGAAUUUCACAAAUAUUUGGGAUUCCCGGGGUCAAGUUGUCAGAGAGCGGUACAGAAUUUAGAUUCCAUCUAAAUCUGAGAGAAAGAGAGAAACAUCCAGAGAAUGAAGUGUGUUCUGUGUGUCAUUAUUGUGAGACUGCCAUUUGGGCUUAACCCAUCUGUUUUCCACAAACGUGGGGUGCUUUCAGUGCCCCACAUCAAUGCCAUCAGUUUCCUGGAGAAAAAAGUCUUGAUAUUAAUAUGAUAGAUUUUUUUAUCCAACUUGAAUUGAGUCAUUAGUUUAUCAUUUGGCCUUGAUGUAUGCAAAGUGUAUUUGCAGUGAAAUAAACAAAAUCAAUAUUCAACUAGGGCUGAAAAUA